UACGGAAGGCAGCAGUGGGGAAUAUUGCACAAUGGGCGCAAGCCUGAUGCAGCCAUGCCGCGUGUAUGAAGAAGGCCUUCGGGUUGUAAAGUACUUUCAGUCGUGAGGAAGGUGUUAAGGUUAAUAACCUUAGCAAUUGACGUUAGCGACAGAAGAAGCACCGGCUAACUCCGUGCCAGCAGCCGCGGUAAUACGGAGGGUGCGAGCGUUAAUCGGAAUUACUGGGCGUAAAGGGCACGCAGGCGGUUAAUAAGUUGGAUGUGAAUCCCCGGGCUUAACCUGGGAAUGGCAUUCAAGACUGGUUAGCUAGAGUCUUGUAGAGGGGGUAGAAUUCCAUGUGUAGCGGUGAAAUGCGUAGAGAUGUGGAGGAAUACCGGUGGCGAAGGCGGCCCCUGGACAAAGACUGACGCUCAUGUGCGAAAGCGUGGGGAGCAAACAGGGAUUAGAUACC
rnacentral:rRNA from 1 species